rnacentral:rRNA from 1 species
UACGAGGGGGGCAAAUGUUGUUCGGAAUCACUGGGCGUAAAGGGCGCGUAGGCGGCCCGCUAAGUCGAACGUGAAAUCCCCGAGCUCAACUCGGGAACUGCGUCCGAUACUGGCGGGCUUGAAUCCGGGAGAGGGAUGCGGAAUUCCAGGUGUAGCGGUGAAAUGCGUAGAUAUCUGGAGGAACACCGGUGGCGAAGGCGGCAUCCUGGACCGGCAUUGACGCUGAGGCGCGAAAGCUAGGGGAGCAAACGGG